CGGUCAGUAUGGUUUUGCAUCGACUGUGCGAGAGUCAAGUGAAACAUGAGAAGCUCCGGCUUUUGGAUUUUUCUGCAAGGAGAAUCCUCCCUCUCCAUUGGAUAUCCAGAAAUACAUUUGUCGCAGAAAGUUAGCAUCUAGGACUAUUGAUCUGCGACUGCUGAUCACCAACUUGAAAGAUAAUAAAGGAUUUACGGACAGUACAAACGGAUUAGAAACAUGCAAAAACAUUAUUGAUGAAUUUAUCCCCAAGAAGAAUUCAAUUAAAUUAAAGCAUAGCCAAGACCAGCUGGCUAUCAAAGAGGACUUAGUAAAACAUCGAACCUCAGUGGCAGAGCUCCUGAGUGGAAAAUAUGAAGCCAGCAGUUACCCUUCGUCAACUCCACUGAUAUCCAUAGCAUAAGGUUGCACGGAACAGAGCCAUUCCAUGUGCCCUGCAAUUCCAGUGUUUCCGGAUCUGGCUAGACUGUCAUCCAGAGACCAGUCAACGGCAAUGAGAACUUCAAUCGCAAAACUUUAAUCGACUUCUAACUAGAGUGCGAAGACCUCCGGUAGAUCUUCUUCCUUGGACUGGAAAAAAUCCAUCUAAUGAACCUGUCCCAGCCUCACGUGCUGUACAUCCAACUCAAAGAUGUUCUCGAUUCCAUCAUUUCAAAUUAGAAAACGAAGAGAAAGGCUACAAACCUGAAAUCGGUGGGUAGUGCACAGGAAGUUUUCCACAGACCGGGAUAAUGGCACUCAUGAGACACGAAAGGACUCCGAACCCUAGUUUUAGUUGGUCCACUGGCAAUUAAAGUUCUCAUUGCCGUUGACUCGUCUCUGGAUGACAGUCCAACCAGAUCCGGAAACACUGGAAUUACAAGGCACAAGGAAUGGGUCUGUUCCGUGCAAUAAGGUUGCUAUGGCUAUAAGUGGAUUUGCUAAAUGGGAGAUAACUGGGUGCCUCCCAAAUGUCCAUCAGCUUUUGUUUAAGGAAAUUCACUUGAUCCCCUAGUUGCCUGAUGUUCUCUCAAGUNUUCUNUUCUCUGAUGUUCUCUCAAGUUUUCUUAUAAAUCAAAAUGUGAAAUAUACGAUUACUACACUUUG
rnacentral:sRNA from 1 species